rnacentral:rRNA from 1 species
AUUGAACGCUGGCGGCAGGCCUAACACAUGCAAGUCGAACGAGUGGCGGACGGGUGAGUAAUGUCUGGGAAACUGCCUGAUGGAGGGGGAUAACUACUGGAAACGGUAGCUAAUACCGCAUAACAUCAGAUGUGCUCAGAUGGGUUUAGCUUGUCGGGGUGGGAACGGCUCACCAAGGCGACGAGCCCUAGCAGGUCUGAGAGGAUGACCGGCCAAACUGGAACUGAGACACGGGCCAGACUCCUACGGGAGGCAGCAGUGGGGAAUAUUGUACAAUGGGCGCAAGCCUGAUGCAGCCAUGCCGCGUGUAUGAAGAAGGCCUUCGGGUUGUAAAGUACUUUCAGCGGGGAGGCGUUACCCGCAGAAGAAGCACCGGCUAACUCCGUGCCAGCAGCCGCGGUAAUAC